CAAAAAGACUUUCUCCUUCCUUCACCCUUUCCCUUUUCUUUUCUGAAGAAAUCACGCUUUACGUUUCCUUUCUCUGAUAUUGUGCUGAAGAUCGUGCUCUUUCCUUCAUGUCACCCUUUCCCUUUCCUUCUCCGAGUUGAAGAACUUACAAUUUCUCUUCUUCGAGCUAAAGAUCGAACUGAAGAUCAAGCUAAAGAUCGAGUUACAGAACUCACCGAGCUGACUGAUCUUUCUCUUGUCCGAGAUGAAGAUUUCGUAAAGAUUUUUCAUUGCAGAACUUGAUUUCAGAUAGAUUUAGGGUUUACUGGCUAUGCUGAAAAAUGGAAGAGUUGAGUUGAAGAUUCUCCUCUCCAGAUUUUGAUUUUAUCGAGGAAAUGAAGAGUUGAUGCCAAAGAACUGGGGAUCAAAAAACUAAAAAUCGAAGAGCUGAAGGACAGAAGUUGAAGAACUAAUUUUUUCAAUGUGCUUUGUACCUGCAGUACUUACAGUAUUGGGGGAUGUUUUCACAUGGUCAUUCUUUCCAUUCGAGCUUGCCUUCAAAGUUGGGAACAUCAGAAACUGCAACAGCCAUUCACUCGCGAGCACGGAAGACCCUAAAGAAGAGUAUUUCCCUUCUACCCUCAGAGGUUAUGUGAUCAAUCUCAUGUGUGAAUACUUUUUUGACUUGAGAAUGAAUACUUUGAGCUGGAUAACAUGAUUUGUUAUGUGGUGCACCAUCUCAUAUAUGAUUGAUCUGCCAAUCUUGAUGUACAUCACAUUUUGAGGUAUUGGUUUUCAUUUCAUGACAUGCUGACUAAAAGAGUUUUCCCUAUAUUCCUAGGCAGGACCUUGGCAACAACUAUGAUAUAAAGGUUUUAGGAGAGCGAGCUAUUGUUAUCUGCGAUUCAAUUUUCUUGACAUCUCAAACUAGUUGGAACAACAAAAUUUUGUAGACGAGUAUCUUUAGAUUUAUGUGUCAAAUAGACAACGCACCAUUUCUAUCAAGAAAGACUUCAUAUGGUCUCUUGUAUUUCAAAAUUAUCUUUUUUAUCAAAUAUAGUAAUAUUUUCAUGUUGAGUUCCAGUUCCUUGAUCCACAUGUUAAUGUCAUAAACUAAAUUGCUCAAGAUUGCACUUGAGUUUGUGCAUAAGUUGAUUUUUGUCUAGUCGUUAGUCCCUUAUUUAUGUCAUGUUAAGAAUUUGAUUUAUUGCCAUGUGUAACAUAAAUCUUGACAAAGUUAGAACAUAAAUGCUGACUUUUUUGUGUUGUUAAGGGACGUUUGCAAAAGUUUCUAUACAUCUUGGGAAAGUCCUUAUGGUAAUUACUGUGCUCAUCAUUGGUUUUAGGAUGGUGCUUAUGGUCUAUGGUCCAAUUGUUCAGUAUUACUUUUUUUGUUAUGAUGGGAUUGUUGUCCAGACUCACUCACACUCGCCCCCUAUAUUUGUUCACAACUUUCCACAACCUUUUGUCCCAUUGCAUAAACAUGAUCAUGGCCAGCAAUUUGAUCUUGAGUAAAUUGAUCGAGCAUCGAGUUAGAGGGAGUAGACAUACCAUUUUGUUGAUUCUCCUCUUUUGAGCUUGUGUUCUUUAUUUAGGGAUAGUAGCUUGGGAUUCCUGACAAAUCUCAUGUGAAUCAUUAGUGGUAUCAACAAGUAUACCUGUAUUAGGAGAGUUAUCCGUUCUUGGGCUUAACUAUGUGCGAUGUGUAAAUAUGCAAAUCUGCAUAUUUGCAGAUCUAUGUUGCAUCAUAAAAAUGUGUUGUGGUAUCUUGUUGUUCUAUAUUUUGUGGAAAAUUAUAAUCUACAAUAUGUAUGUAAAUGUGCAAAUGUGCAAUAUUAAAAUCUGCAAAUCUACAGAUCUUUUCAAGCUUGGGUUUUUACUUUUGGUCUUCUAAAUAAAGUGUUUGAAUUUCUUUACAUUUUUGUUUACAACUUGAACAUACUUCUCGAUAGAAUUUCUUAAUCUUAAUUAGUACAUUUAAUUGUGUCUAUCAUAUUUGUUUAGUUUCCUUCUCAAUCGUGUCUACUCUAUUAAUUUUUAUUAAUUUUUCCUAGAAGUAUAAUAAACAUUGAGAAACAUUCUUGGAGGAUUCAAAGUUUUAUUUGGCAUAGCACAAGAACCAUGACUAGGAUCCAUAUGAUCAAGAUGGACAUUAUGUUAUGAAGACUGUUCUGAGAGACUUGUUUAACAUGAGUGAUGAAUUUGAAAAUUAUCUCAAAGAAAAUUAUGAAAAUGAGUUGUCUAAUCACUAGAUGGAUCCAUCUAUACAAGAAGAUGAUGUUGAAGUUCACUUAGUAAGGACAGAUGUAUAUAAAUUGUUAUUUAUUUGCCUUCAGAGGAAUUUGAUAAUCAACAACUUAAGGUCGAGUAUGAAAAGGAAUUUUAAGAUGUUUAUGAAAAGAAGUUUGAACAUUAGUCUGAAGAUGAGUUUGAAGAAGAGUGUGAUGACGGGUCUGAAAGUGAGUAUGAAGAUGAUUCAUAAGAUGCGUCGGAAGAGGAAUUCGAAGAUGAGUUUGAUGAUUACACACCAUGAUCUUUAUUAUUUUUGUGAUUAACAUAUAGUGCUAACUUACUCAUUUGGUCAUUUGACUAUUUUUGUACAAAUAUCUUAAGAUGUCUAUGACUAAGGUUAGUAAUAUCUAGAGUAUUCAUGUUAGAAUUAUGAAAUUGCAUUCUGAUAAGUAAAAGUGAAUUGUUGUUGUCAUCUAGAUACUUACUUUUUACUAUUACUAGCAGGCAUUGGACCAUAGUAAAGGAAGUGAAGGCAGCACAGUGAAAUCAAUCCUCGGGAUCCUACAGUAAUAUGAAACUUUUGUUGAAGUAGAAAAAGAGAUAUUUGUAAAAUUCGAGUUGCAAAGGGAAAUGGAGGUGAACAAAUUAGAAGCGGAUGAUGAAUAGUUUUUGAACUAUUGUAAAAGUUUGAAUACAUUAUAUUGAUUUUGUCAAAUAUAUUUAUUUGUGGAAUAUAUUGAACUACUGUAAGACUAAUUUUUGAACUAUUGUGUACACAUUUUGAAUAUUAAUGCUUUAUAAGUAUGUGAAUCAACACACCACAUAUUAUGUUUUUAA